rnacentral:rRNA from 1 species
AGCAGCCGCGGUAAUUCCAGCUCCAAUAGCGUAUAUUAAAGUUGUUGCAGUUAAAAAGCUCGUAGUUGAAUUUCGGGAUCAUCAGGUUGGUCGUGCCUCUGGUAUGUACUGAUUUCGAUGGUCCCUCCUUCUUGAAGAGCCGUAAUGCCAUUAAUUUGGUGUUGCGGGGAAUCAGGACUGUUACUUUGAAAAAAUUAGAGUGUUUAAAGCAGGCAAUCGCUUGAAUACAUUAGCAUGGAAUAAUGAAAUAGGACGUUCGAUCCUAUUCUGUUGGUUUCUAGGAUUGACGUAAUGAUUAAUAGGGAUAGUUGGGGGCAUUAGUAUUCAAUUGUCAGAGGUGAAAUUCUUGGAUUUAUUGAAGACUAACUACUGCGAAAGCAUUUGCCAAGGAUGUUUUCAUUAAUCAAGAACGAAAGUUAGGGGAUCGAAGACGAUCAGAUACCGUCGUAGUCUUAACCAUAAACUAUGCCGACUAGGGAUCGGAUGAUGUUAAUUUUUAAUGACUCAUUC